CGGCGGAAAUGGUCAUUCUCCGAGGCAAGCAGCCCACGCCGCGCGCGGGUGGGAUCCUCGCCAUGGCGAUGGGGGGCGGAGGUGGCGGCGGCGUCCCGGAGCAGGAGGGCUCGGUGCUGUUCCGGCGCGGCGCCGGCCAGAGAGGAAGGGAGAGGGAUAGAGAGUUAGAAACAUCGAUGAGAGAGAAACAUCAAUCAACUGCCUCCUGCACACUUCCUACUGGGGAUGUGCCCACAACCAAGAGUGAUGAUUCUGACAUUUGGGAUGAUACAGCACUGAUAAAAGCAUAUGAUAAAGCUGUGGCUUCAUUUAAGCACGCUCUAAAGAAUGGUGACAUUUCUGAAGCUUCAAAUAAACCAAAAGGCACCCCUAAAAGAAAACCUGCUAAGAAGAAUAAAAGCCAAAAAAAGAACACCACAACUCCCUUGAAGCAGUGGAAAGUUGGUGACAAAUGUUCAGCCAUUUGGUCAGAAGAUGGCUGCAUUUACCCAGCUACCAUUGCUUCAGUUGAUUUUAAGAGAGAAACCUGUGUUGUGGUUUACACUGGAUAUGGAAAUAGAGAGCAGCAAAAUCUGUCUGAUCUACUUUCCCCAACGACUGAUGUAGCUAAUAAUAUAGAACAGAAUGCUCAGGAGAAUGAAAAUGAAAGUCAAAUUUCAACAGAUGAAAGUGAGAACUCCUCCAGGUCUCGUGGAAAUAAACCAAAUAACAUCAAGUCAAGAGCUGCUCCAUGGAACUAUUUUCUCCCUCCACCACCCCCCAUGCCAAGAUCAGGACUGGGACCAGGAAAGCCAGGUCUAAAAUUUAAUGGCCCACCACCACCACCACCACCACCACCACCACCUCCACCACCUCCCUUCCUAUCAUGCUGGCUGCCUCCGUUUCCUUCUGGACCACCAAUAAUUCCCCCACCUCCUCCCAUAUGUCCAGAUUCUCUUGACGAUGCUGAUGCUUUGGGAAGUAUGUUAAUCUCUUGGUACAUGAGUGGCUAUCACACUGGUUACUAUAUGGGUUUCAAACAAAAUCAAAAAGAAGGAAGGUGCUCACAUUUUAAUUAAGGAGGUGAUACGUUACCUAUGAAGAGGAACUAGAAGACGAAGGCAUGUAAUUCAUACAGUAUUCCUUAAGAAGUGCAGCUCUCUCCCAAGGAGAAGGGUGUUUUGAUAUGCCCUGGUCGAUGUGAACAGUUUUCAUCUUUUCUUCAUGAGCACUUGGUUGAAUGGCACAAUCUUCUACAUUUACCUUUGUCAUAUGUGACUUGUGCUUAAGUAACCAGCCAGGUAUUUGUAGGGAAUAACCAGUUUGAAUAACUGAACAAUGGAAAUGUGAGUAAUUAAAAGAAACUCAAAGUCACAUAUAGUGCAGAAAAGUCAAUCUGUCAACACAUUUGUAUAUUGUAACUUUCUUAGUAUAUUAAGCUUUUUACUGAUGCCUUUAAAAAUAAAUGAUAAAUAUUUUUUAAUCUUGA